GUGCCAGCAGCCGCGGUAAUACGUAGGUGGCAAGCGUUGUCCGGAUUUAUUGGGCGUAAAGCGAGCGCAGGCGGUUCUUUAAGUCUGAUGUGAAAGCCCCCGGCUCAACCGGGGAGGGUCAUUGGAAACUGGAGAACUUGAGUGCAGAAGAGGAGAGUGGAAUUCCACGUGUAGCGGUGAAAUGCGUAGAUAUGUGGAGGAACACCAGUGGCGAAGGCGACUCUCUGGUCUGUAACUGACGCUGAGGCUCGAAAGCGUGGGGAGCAAACAGGAUUAGA
rnacentral:rRNA from 1 species